UGGGGGAUAGCCGGGCCCAACGGCCGGGUAAUACCGCAUACGAUCUUUGGGGGCAUCCCUGGACGACGAAAGCUCGUAAGAGCGCAGGAUGAGGGGCUCGCGGGCCUAUCAGCUAGUUGGCGGGGUAAUGGCCCACCAAGGCGAUGACGGGUAGCUGGUCUGAGAGGAUGGCCAGCCACAUUGGGACUGAGAGACGGCCCAG
rnacentral:rRNA from 1 species